GACCUCCUCGCUGUCUCCUAGACAAAUUUUAUAACUUACAAAACAAAUCUGCUCAACCUUUGAGCAUGAGAUAGUUUCCCCUGAUAGUUCACGAAGUUAUAUCAAUUUUCACUUUGUUACUUCCCAUACGCCUUAGCUUUUUAUACACCCCCAAAAAACUAAUGCUGUAAAUAUAAUUAGCCUAACGUAUUCCUUUAUAUCCAUAAUUAUAGCGUAGUGUCUUAUUUCCAUUUUCUAAUGGUCAGAGACAAAUAGUAAUAGAAAUAGAAAAACUUUUAAGACAGGAAAAGGUGAACGUCUGUUCCUUUAUGGUAGGUUACAGAAGAGCUGGAUAACGUGAAAACCAAACUUCAAGAGAUUGAAAGAGAGAUUUUGACUGUAGGAAGCACUAACUCUUCAGUUCAAAAUCAGGACUUAAAUACUGCAAAUGUCUUGCUCGCGAUACAGAAUUCUUCCAAAAGAAUUGACAACUUAUCAGCUCUUUGGCUAGCACUGAAUGGUAGUGUUAAUGCACAGAUGAUUGACGUUGAACAAAAAAUUCUACAGCUGGAUCAAGAGGUAAUUGGGGGAAAGCACAAAGCAUAGAACGCAACAGCAAUCAAAACUUACUUUAAUGAUAUCCAAUGUUCAAAAGCGAAGUAAUCCAGGACCAUUAAAACGUAUCAACAUGCUGCAUCUUCAAAGCCACAAGGGCGUGGAGCAUGAAACAAAUCUUAACUAUUAUUAUUCAUUCCUGGCUAGCUGCGGCAUACAUAUCUCAACAGAUCUCAUCAAAACCCAAUUGUUUCUGCAUAAUCUCUUGCUCUGCGUUUAACGUUCUUUAAGACACCUUCCUUGAUCUAGCGGAAUUGAGAAGUAAAGUGGAAUCUCGCCCUAAUGCAAACCUGUUAAUACAGCCACCUCGUUAUUAGGGCCACUUUAUUCUGUCCCGAACAAAGGCUCAUUCAGUCACUUUCUUAUUUAAAGAACCCAGUUAAUACGGCUACACUCUUGUGGCCUGUUAAUUACUAGAUUAACGGGGUUCCACUGCGGUAGUGACUUUGGCUUUGGUUUUUAUAUUGGCCGGCUUUAUCGAAGGAUUUCUCGUGUUGCGCUGUCCUCAAGAAUAAUUUGUCGUGUUUGGUAAGAUUACAACAAGUUUAGAACGUUGAUGUGGUUUCCUAGCCAGCUGUAUCAUUUAAACCGUGUAAAACCUAGAUCUACUGUGAUGCAUGGGUAAAGCUUCCUUCGGUAGAUAACUGCACUGGGAUAUGUGAAUUGUCAAGGCUAAAAUGGUGACCGUUAUGAUUUAAAUUAUGUGGGGAAAGAGCUUAAGGACGUUCGCGCGAAAAUUUCCAGUCGAUAGAU